rnacentral:rRNA from 1 species
AUAGUUUGAUCCUGGUUCAGGAUGAACGCUAGCGGCAGGCUUAACACAUGCAAGUCGAGGGGUAACAUUGUGCUUGCACAGAUGACGACCGGCGCACGGGUGCGUAACGCGUAUAGAACCUACCUUUUACAGAGGAAUAGCCUUUAGAAAUGAAGAUUAAUGCCUCAUAGUAUUGUAGACUGGCAUCAGUUUAUAAUUAAAGAUUUAUCGGUAAAAGAUGGCUAUGCAUCCUAUUAGUUAGUUGGUAAGGUAACGGCUUACCAAGACAGCGAUAGGUAGGGGUCCUGAGAGGGAGAUCCCCCACACUGGUACUGAGACACGGACCAGACUCCUACGGGAGGCAGCAGUGAGGAAUAUUGGACAAUGGAGGAGACUCUGAUCCAGCCAUGCCGCGUGUAGGAAGAAUGCCCUAUGGGUUGUAAACUACUUUUAUACAGGAAGAAACACUGGUAUGUAUACCAGCUUGACGGUACUGUAAGAAUAAGGACCGGCUAACUCCGUGCCAGCAGCCGCGGUAAUACGGAGGGUCCGAGCGUUAUCCGGAAUCAUUGGGUUUAAAGGGUCCGCAGGCGGUCGAUUAAGUCAGAGGUGAAAUCCCAUAGCUCAACUAUGGAACUGCCUUUGAUACUGGUUGACUUGAGUCAUAUGGAAGUAGAUAGAAUGUGUAGUGUAGCGGUGAAAUGCCUAG